GACGAACGCUGGCGGCGUGCUUAAUACAUGCAAGUCAACGACUUUUAGAGUAGCAAUAUUUUAAAAGGAGUGGCGCACGGGUGAGUAACACGUAGGUAAUCUGCCUUCAGGACUGACACAACUCGUCGAAAGACGGGCUAAUAUCAGAUAAUGCAGCGGCUCCGCAUGGAGACAGUUGUUAAAGUACAAGCGCCUGAAGAUGAGCCUGCGGUCCAUUAGCUAGUUGGUAGAGUAACAGCCUACCAAGGCAACGAUGGAUAGCUGGUCUGAGAGGAUGAUCAGCCACACUGGAACUGAGACACGGUCCAGACUCCUACGGGAGGCAGCAGUAAGGAAUAUUGCUCAAUGGCCGAAAGGCUGAAGCAGCAACGCCGCGUGAAGGAUGAAUGGCCUUUGGCCUGUAAACUUCUGUAAAAAGGGAAAACAAUCAGGCAUGUCCUGAUUUGAUUGUACCUUUGAAGUAAGCCCCGGCUAACUACGU
rnacentral:rRNA from 1 species